UACGUAGGGUGCAAGCGUUGUCCGGAUUUAUUGGGCGUAAAGAGCGUGUAGGCGGCCUGAAAGGUCAGCUGUGAAAACUCGAGGCUCAACCUCGAGACGUCGGUUGAAACCAUCUGGCUAGAGUCCGGAAGAGGAGUGUGGAAUUCCCGGUGUAACGGUGAAAUGUGUUGAUAUCGGGAGGAACACCCAUGGCGAAGGCAGCAGACUGGGCAUCACCUGACGCUGAGGCGCGAAAGCGUGGGUAGCAAACAGG
rnacentral:rRNA from 1 species